rnacentral:rRNA from 1 species
UACAGAGGUCCCAAGCGUUGUUCGGAUUCAUUGGGCGUAAAGGGUGCGUAGGCGGCGCGGUAAGUCGGGUGUGAAAUCUCGGAGCUUAACUCCGAAACUGCAUUCGAUACUGCCGUGCUUGAGGACUGGAGAGGAGACUGGAAUUUACGGUGUAGCGGUGAAAUGCGUAGAUAUCGUAAGGAAGACCAGUGGCGAAGGCGGGUCUCUGGACAGUUCCUGACGCUGAGGCACGAAGGCCAGGGGAGCGAAAACGGGG